UACGAAGGGUGCAAGCGUUAAUCGGAAUUACUGGGCGUAAAGGGUGCGUAGGCGGUUGUUUAAGUCAGGGGUGAAAUCCUGGAGCUCAACUCCAGAACUGCCUUUGAUACUGAGGAUCUUGAGUUCGGGAGAGGUGAGUGGAACUGCGAGUGUAGAGGUGAAAUUCGUAGAUAUUCGGAAGAACACCAGUGGCGAAGGCGACUUACUGGACACAUAUUGACGCUGAGGUGCGAAAGCGUGGGGAGCAAACAGG
rnacentral:rRNA from 1 species